GACGAACGCUGGCGGCGUGCUUAACACAUGCAAGUCGAACGAACUCGACCUUCGGGUCACAUGAGUGAGUGGCGAACGGGUGAGUAACACGUGAGAAACCUACCUCAGAGUUUGGGAUAACCAAUGGAAACGUUGGCUAAUACCAAAUACCCUCCUUUGAUCGAGUGAUCGAAGGAGGAAAGAUUUAUCGCUUUGGGACGGUCUCGCGGCCUAUCAGCUAGUUGGUGAGGUAAUGGCUCACCAAGGCAUCGACGGGUAACUAGUCUGAGAGGACGAAUAGUCACACUGGAACUGAGACACGGUCCAGACUCCUACGGGAGGCAGCAGUGGGGAAUAUUGCACAAUGGGCGAAAGCCUGAUGCAGCGACGCCGCGUGGGGGAUGAAGGCCUUAGGGUCGUAAACCCCUUUCGCUAGGGAAGAAAAUGACGGUACCUAGAGAAGAAGCUCCGGCUAACUACG
rnacentral:rRNA from 1 species